rnacentral:pre_miRNA from 1 species
GGGGGAAGGCCGGAUCCUGGGCUGUGUCCCAGCGCCCUGUGCUCCUGGUCUGCGCUGUUGGAUUCGCGCUCCCGGCAGCGCAGCCUCCU